rnacentral:rRNA from 1 species
UACGUAGGGUGCAAGCGUUGUCCGGAAUUAUUGGGCGUAAAGAGCUCGUAGGCGGUUUGUCGCGUCUGCUGUGAAAACCCGAGGCUCAACCUCGGGCCUACAGUGGGUACGGGCAGACUAGAGUGCGGUAGGGGAGAUUGGAAUUCCUGGUGUAGCGGUGAAAUGCGCAGAUAUCAGGAGGAACACCGAUGGCGAAGGCAGGUCUCUGGGCCACUACUGACGCUGAGAAGCGAAAGCAUGGGGAGCGAACAGG